GAUGAACGCUGGCGGCGUGCCUAAUACAUGCAAGUCGAGCGAACAGACGAGAGUGCUUGCACUCUCUGACGUUAGCGGCGGACGGGUGAGUAACACGUGGGUAACCUACCUAUAAGACUGGGAUAACUUCGGGAAACCGGAGCUAAUACCGGAUAAUAUUUAGCUUCGUAUGACGCAAUAGUGAAAGACGGUUCUGCUGUCAUUUAUAGAUGGACCCGCGGUGUAUUAGCUAGUUGGUGAGGUAACGGCUCACCAAGGCAACGAUACAUAGCCGACCUGAGAGGGUGAUCGGCCACACUGGGACUGAGACACGGCCCAGACUCCUACGGGAGGCAGCAGUAGGGAAUCUUCCGCAAUGGACAAAAGUCUGACGCAGCAAUGCCGCGUGAGUGAAGAAGGUUUUCGGAUCGUAAAACUCUGUUGUAAGGGAAGAACAAGUACGUUAGUAACUGAACGUACCUUGACGGUACCUUACCAGAAAGCCACGGCUAACUACGUG
rnacentral:rRNA from 1 species